GCCCACCUGCCUCAGGUCCUGAAGCCCGUUUGUGCCUGGAGCCCAUGCUCCACAGCAAGAAAAGCCAUCGCAGUGAGCAGUGGGCACACUGCACCUCCGCUCACCACAACCAGAGAAAGCUUCUGCAGCUACGGAGACCCAGCACAGCCAAACACUUUAAUUAAAAAUCUGAACGCUCCCUCUCUUAGCACAUUCUUGGCUCAGCCUGGGGCCACGACCACCUUCCCAGCAAGUCCCCCUGCCUCCCCAGCCACCCCUCCCAUUCCAGGCUCCUUGGGAGAUUCCUUCUUCCUUGGGCUUCCCUGGUGGCUCGGUGAAGAAUCUGCCUGCAAUGCAGAAGUGGGUUGGGUCCCUGGAUUGGGCAAAUUCCCCUGGAAAAGGGAAGGGCUACUCCAGUAUUCUUGCCUGGAGAAUUUGCACACCUCCCCCACCCCAUCCCCAUUCCUUCAGGGGCCCCAGGAGACGCCCACAGGCCCUGUAAGGGGGCAGGGCCAACUGGAAAGCAACCGGCCCCACGAGUACUACAGCCUACUUGGGAGCGCCAAGCCACACGGUGCGCACGGCAUGCGGCCUGGGAAACCACCUGUCUGGCCCCCACGGUGCCCCAGGGCAGCCAGGGAACAAGCCCACACCCUCUAACACUACGUGACGGGAGCCGCUGGUAGGAGCCGACCUUUCCAGAAACCCGAGGCUGCGGCUGGACCUGUGAGGAGCCCAAUACUUGGGAGGUGGGAAAAUGAACAAACGCCUGGCAGUUCUCUCAUGACCAUGGUCACGUUCUGAGCUCAGGGGACACAUGAGCCAGACCCCAUCACCAGCUGGAAGGUUGAGAGGCCAGCGUCAAGGGGCUGUGUCUCCUCCAAGCUGAGUCCAGCCCUUGGUGGGGUCUGUCGUGGGCACCCUGGAGUCCCCCAGUGGUCUCCAGCUCACAUGUGCUCCUGGGCUGGGCAGGUAUGGUCCCACUCUGGGGUCAGUGUGCUCCUGGCAGGAAAUGGGGUCAUCGCUGCCUCUUGGGCUGGGCUCUGAGGGGAGGUGAUGGGAAGCCCCACAGGCAUGUGCCACCCAGGGCCUCUGCACACCUGUGUCUGCACCCGGGGCAUGGCUGGUCUGACGGGGAGAUGGUGAGGUCGCUGGGGGUGAGGCCUGACUCUCAGGAGCCUAUUUAACACUGGUGGCCUGGAGGUCAUUUGCUGAGAAAGCCUAGUGGUUGUCACUGAACGGUUCUCUCCCUUAAGACUUUCUCCACAGC
rnacentral:lncRNA from 1 species